AGGCCUGUAGCUCUAAUGUAGAGCAGCGGACUCCAAAUCCGUUGGUUGGGGGUUCAAGUCCCUCCAGGCCUG
rnacentral:tRNA from 1 species